AGCGAACGCUGGCGGCAUGCUUAACACAUGCAAGUCGCACGGGCAGGGGAAACCCUGUCAGUGGCGGACGGGUGAGUAACGCGUAGGUAUCUGUCUCCGGGUGGGGGAUAACCGUGGGAAACUACGGCUAAUACCGCAUGACACCUGAGGGUCAAAGGCGCAAGUCGCCUGGAGAGGAGCCUGCGUCCGAUUAGCUAGUUGGCGGGGUAAAGGCCCACCAAGGCUCCGAUCGGUAGCUGGUCUGAGAGGAUGAUCAGCCACACUGGGACUGAGACAC
rnacentral:rRNA from 1 species